AUUGAACGCUGGCGGCAGGCCUAACACAUGCAAGUCGAACGAGUGGCGGACGGGUGAGUAAUGGCUGGGAAACUGCCUGAUGGAGGGGGAUAACUACUGGAAACGGUAGCUAAUACCGCAUACCCUCGGAUGUGCCCAGAUGGGAUUAGCUAGUAGGUGGGGGAAAGGCGCACCUAGGCGACGCUCCCUAGCUGGUCUGCGAGGAUGACCAGCCACACUGGAACUGAGACACGGCCCAGACUCCUACGUGAGGCAGCAGUGGGGAAUAUUGGACAAUGGGCGAAAGCCUGAUGCAGCCAUGCCGCGUGUAUGAAGAAGGUCUUCGGGUUGUAAAGUACUGUCAGCGGGGAGGCGUUACCCGCAGAAGAAGCAACGGCUAACUCCGUGCCAGCAGCCGCGGUAAUUC
rnacentral:rRNA from 1 species